CGACAGCUGAGCAGGGCAGUAGAUGAACUUUAUCCGAGCGGCUCUGACUCGAUUUUCUCCCGGCGCUCGCAGCGUCUCGGCCGGCUACUUCUCCUCCCUGCGCCCGCUCUCUCCGGAGCCUCUCUCUUUCCCUCCGGACCGCAGCGCUUGUUCCCCGGCCUCGGAUCGGUCCGGAACCCCGCGCCCUACCGGGAGGAUCCCCGGCUAAAGUUUCCUCUUCUCUCCGCCCUCCGGGACUUGUUGUGUGGAGAUAACCCGGACUGAGCCGCGCUAACCGGCCCUUACAGUCACAGGAGGAAGAGGACGGACCUGCAGAGAAGAAGAAGAUGAAGAGUUCUCUGUGCUGAUGUACGAGGACCGACGCAGCGACAGGAAGGAAGCAGCUCCCAGCAUGGCGAGCGCCGCGCCGGCCAGGAAGCCGUACCGCAAGGCGCCGCCGCAGCACCGCGAGACCCG